AAUAUGAUGCCUGAUAAAAGGCUUGUUUUGAUAGGACAAAUAAUGCAGGCAAACCUGCUCAUAUUAC
rnacentral:tRNA from 1 species